ensembl:lncRNA
GAUAUCUGGUACCUUUGAGUGAAGCUAUUUUCACAGACCGGCUCCUUUUUUCAGGUGCUGCUGACGUCAGGAAAUGACUUUGUCCCUAAAUGUGUUCAUUUAGAUUAAGACGGAAGGUCAAAAAGCAAGAAGGGUCCAAACGAGGUGGACGGGCCGAUGAGAUAAACAAGGUUAAGAGAUAGAGAACGAUGAGAAUGUGGGUCAGGCGGUCAGGAUGAGCGUUAAUCAUUCUGCUGGACUAUUCAGGGAAAGUGGGCGGAGAUUCCUGAGUGGACGUGAAUGGCGGCAACGUGUUGGUCCUGCAGUGUGAGGAGAGAGAACAAUGCACGUCAACGGGAGUUUAGAAUGUGGCCUACUGUGACUCCAACGUAUUAAAAAAGGUGGGCGAUGACGUCACUGACGAAGGAGAGCUGCUGUUGGAGGAGGUGAGAGGAUGAGAGAAAACUAAGAAACCAGACAAAGGGCCGUGUAUAGAGAGCUGACUUUAAGAUGUGAUGUACAGACAGACUCGUCUUUCUGCCGCCAUAGAACCAGCUAUAGUUCUAAGAAUAUGAGAUCCUGCCUACAGAGCUGUCUGGUCUCCAGUUGGAAGUAACAUCCGUCGAUGCACAGCACCAGACUUCCUUCAAUCUCACGAACCUCAUGAACCUCAGCUGGAGGUGCUUCCUCCCCAACGGCAGGUCAAACAUCCCGACGAAUCCAGCUCUUUAAUCAAAUCAGAACUCAACCUGCGAAACACAAAGGUCAGGGUUCAGGCUCCUGACUGUCUGUUGGCGUCGGAGCGGCUCAGCGCCACGUCCUCUCUGCCGGGAGAGCGUCUCAUGGCUGAGCUCGUAGCUGCACGGGGCUCUGCUGUUUCCUCUACAAGACAAAUACCUAAAUGUCUUUUGAGCACCUGCGCUUCUUGAAGGUGCUUGUGAUGCUGAUAAGAGGUCAGCACACCGGGAGGUCACUGGUUCAUGAGUUGGCUCAUUGGCCGAGGGAGCUUUACAUGAUUAUCUUUUUUUUUACAAAAGAAAGACCCCAAAGAAACAAUAAAUCUCUGGCUGUUUCUUGAAAACAGAAAUUUCAAAUUGCAGCAUAAACAGUUCAUCAGCAAAUGAAACUAUUAAUAAAAAAUGGGCUGGUUGGCUUUAUGGGGCCAAACAAAAGGUGAAAGUUAGAAAAAAAUAAUUUCAUCCUUUUUGGUUCCCAGUAGCCUCGGG